UACGUAGGGGGCAAGCGUUGUCCGGAUUUAUUGGGCGUAAAGAGCGUGUAGGCGGCCAGGUAGGUCCGUUGUGAAAACUGGAGGCUUAACCUCCAGCUGUCGAUGGAAACCAUCUGGCUAGAGUCCGGAAGAGGAGAGUGGAAUUCCUGGUGUAGCGGUGAAAUGCGCAGAUAUCAGGAAGAACACCCGUGGCGAAGGCGGCUCUCUGGUACGUGACUGACGCUGAGACGCGAAAGCGUGGGGAGCGAGCAGG
rnacentral:rRNA from 1 species